rnacentral:rRNA from 1 species
UACGGGGGGAGCAAGCGUUGUUCGGAUUUACUGGGCGUAAAGGGCGCGUAGGCGGCCACGACAAGUCACUUGUGAAAUCUCCGGGCUUAACUCGGAACGGUCAAGUGAUACUGUCGGGCUAGAGUACAGAAGGGGCAACUGGAAUUCUCGGUGUAGCGGUGAAAUGCGUAGAUAUCAGGAGGAACACCGGUGGCGAAGGCGGGUCUCUGGGCAGUAACUGACGCUGAGGAGCGAAAGCGUGGGGAGCGAACAGG